rnacentral:rRNA from 1 species
UACAGAGGUCCCAAGCGUUGUUCGGAUUCACUGGGCGUAAAGGGUUCGUAGGCGGUCGGGUAAGUCUGAUGUGAAAUCUCACAGCUUAACUGUGAAACUGCAUUGGAUACUAUCCGGCUCGAGGAAUGGAGGGGAGACUGGAAUACUUGGUGUAGCAGUGAAAUGCGUAGAUAUCAAGUGGAACACCAGUGGCGAAGGCGAGUCUCUGGACAUUUCCUGACGCUGAGGCACGAAAGCCAGGGGAGCAAACGGG